UACGUAGGGGCAAGCGUUGUCCGGAUUUAUUGGGCGUAAAGAGCGUGUAGGCGGCCAUACAGGUCAGCUGUGAAAACUCGAGGCUCAACCUCGAGACGUCGGUUGAAACCGUAUGGCUAGAGUCCGGAAGAGGAGAGUGGAAUUCCCGGUGUAGCGGUGAAAUGCGCAGAUAUCGGGAAGAACACCCGUGGCGAAGGCGGCUCUCGUGGGACGGUACUGACGCUGAGACGCGAAAGCGUGGGGAGCGAACAGG
rnacentral:rRNA from 1 species